GUGGUAAUAAGUGCUCCCCUAUCUCCCCUAUCCAGGGACUCGCCCUUCCAGAUUUAUUUUCCAUCCAUAGUGAAAGAUUGCACGCCUCACCUCCUCCAUCCUCGCUGCCACCCACCUUAGGCCUCGGCUACCAGCAUGGAUCCACUGUGGGCUCACAAAUGAUCCAGGACCAGGCGCCAAGCAGAGCAGCACUGGAGCAGACAGGCCCUGCACACACUACAGGUUUCCCAGAGACUAUGGGUUGAGGAGGAAUUGGAAGUUUGUCGGCUUAGACCUGGUGUCAUUCCAUCAGUGUUAAACUUCCCGGCUCAUCUUGGAAGAGUACGUGCCAGAAAGACCACGACCAAGCAGCCUUGAGAUCUUAGGCAGCGUCUCCCUGAGGUCCCUCUCUAUCUCCCCACACAUCCACCAACCACUGGAACACAUCUCCAAAGUUCUGCUGGGCCAGCUCAGCUUCCCCUCAGAAGAAGUGCUGCCACCUGCCAGAUGAAGGAGCCUUUUGAGAGGCAGCUGGCAUCAUGAUUGGACUGUACUUUGGUCUGUUCCAAUCCAGCUUCAGCUCCAGAGACGGCAGGCGGGACGAGUCAACGGAGGCCUGGUGGACGAAGGCAUGCAGCUGAGUACAAUCCAGAAAACAACAGAGGAGGAGUGCAGCGGCCCAGAGCCAGAACAAACAGAGUAGCAUCGUAUGUCUCUAAGAAAACAUCAUAGUAUAACCUUUGGUAUGAAAAAACACCAUCAUAUACAUCGUAUAUUGUACAAAUAACAAGUCAAAGGAAAGAGACAUACAUUGUAGAACUGUAGUAACUGUGGGCUGACUGAUUUACUGAUUAUCAGUAUUUUAUUUUUUACUGAUUUACGGUAAUUAAUAAAUUUAAAAAUGGUGCUACUUUGGCUCUGAACCUUUUUC